rnacentral:rRNA from 1 species
UCAACAACGGAUCUCUUGGCUCUCGCAUCGAUGAAGAACGCAGCGAAU